AAACAGCUGCUUGACUAUUAAUAGGCAGGGGCCUCAGCCGCAGCCUGCUGGGAGGGCCUCGGCAUGCAGUUCUGGAAAGGUGAAGCGGCUCCUUCUGUCUGUCUGGAUUUUGCACCCCGUGGUGGGACAAUUGGCUGGGUGCUUACUUCUCGGAAGGAAGAAAAGACACACAUGGGAACACCAUGUGAAGACACAGACACACACUGAGAACACCAUGUCACACGAUAGAGGCACAGAUUGGAGGGAUACGGCCAUAAGCCAAGGAACGCCGACGAUCAACGGCCACCACCAGAAGCUGGAAGAGGCAGGGAGGGAUUCUCCCCAGAAUCCUGGAGGCAGCCGGGCCUACUGACACCUUGAUUUGGAUGUCUGGCUUCCAGAACGUGGCCACAUCAUUUUACACCCCCAUCAGCAGUCUAUGAGUUCCCUGGGACUUUUUAACUUGGAUCAAGAAAGACUGGGUUCUGAGUCUCUGGGCACUACUCGUCUAGAAGAAUGGAAAUGAUACCCAAGUUCAUCGGGGAAAAUGUGAAAGAAGGAAAGAGUUGAAGUCAUCACUGAAACUCUGCUCUAUCCCAUCUUCUUCUUCUUUUGGUACUGGAGGACAUGUUCAUGUCACCAUGCAAGCUCUGAGUCUGCACUUUUGUGUCAUUAUGCCAGGUGAGUCAGCUCAGCAGACAGAGGGUCCUGUGAGACCUUUCUAUACCAAGACAGACGACCUACCUGUAUGUGGAGCCUAGACAGCCACCAAAUGCAAACUGAUGUAUCCCCAAUUCAAUUUCCCCUUAAUAAGACUCCAAAAAUGCCACAGCCAUUCCAAAGCCAUAUGACAGCAAGAAGGUCAGAGUGGAAAGAGUCAGCGAUCUCAACCGAUUGCAGUUAGAACGACUUGUGUAAGAAGCACAUGACCAUGUGAACACACUGCUAGGGCCUCUCCCAGGACUUAGCGAGGGCCCCGUGCCAGGGAGGGGUUCUGAAGCUUAAACCGGACUAGCUUCAUGGUCAAUCUGCCUCACAAUGGACACCUCUGCCAUCUUCAAAAACCCCGCAAAUGUUCAUUCGAGAAAAACUUCUCCAUCUUCACAUGCCGGACCCUGUGCUGGGGACAGAUGAGGCAGGAGCGAACAAAGCAAGCUGAGUGCAAAUCUGACUUCUAGGCAUCACAGCCUCCCCGAGGGGCCUGGCCCAGGAAGGCUGGGCUCUCCAGGGAUGAGUCAUCAGAUGAAGGAGAAAAACCAGCCUCAGCUUAGGCUGGAGAGUAUGGCCUUCCUCUUGGAGGAGCGUAGUGAAACCUCCUGGGAGACGAAGCCUCCUCCUUGGGUUAUUCUCCCAGGAUGAUCCUGAUGCUGGAGAGCCUUUAACAAUGGGAGUUUGAGCCCAGUGCACGGGAGUCAAAUCCCCCACAUCAGACCUUGGAGCCACGCUUCUCCCAGGAAACUUGCCCUGCCCGGAGUCCUGGACCUGGGGGACUAGAACCUCAGCCUCCACGUCCAACCUCCCGCCUUGGCUCACAAUCUUCCUGCUUUUGCCUGGGAUGAGCAGAAACUCACAAAUGCCUAAACCAGUCCUUCCUGCCAGGGACUAACCAGUCUCAGCUGCCAGCCUCAGCUCCGGCCCAGCCUCGUUCAGGACUGUGGUGCUGUAAAUCGUUUGAAGGACACAUACCUCUGGGUGUUCCCCUCUCUGAGCCUCACUCUCUUCAUAUGUCAAGUGGGAUGACAAUGGACUACCAACUAACUCCAGGAGGGCUGUGCAGCAUGUCUUGUCCGCCCCUGUAGUCUCAGCCCAGUUGAGUGGAUGGCACACAGUAGGUGCUCAAUAAGUGUUUGUUAAGUGAAUGGAUGGAAUAAAGAGAUCCCUGACUUCUGUGUGGAGGGGGAGUAUACUUGCAAUAGUUGGUACUUAAUCAGUUGCAGGUGACAGACACCAACGCAAACUGGCAUGAGAAGGAGAGACUGUAUCGGUUCACACCACUGAAGUGCAGGGUAGUUCCAGCUUCAGGAUUUAUGGCUCCACUGACAUUACCAUGAAUUGAUCUGUCUCCACCUCUGCACUUGGCUUUCCUCUCUGUUGGAGUUAGCCUCAGGUAGGUCCAGGCGUAUAGUCCAGCAGAAAGAGACAAGUUUGUUCUCAAAAAUUCAAACAAAAGUCUCAGAAUUUAGUCUCAUUAGACUGACUUGGGUCCCUUGAACGUCCUUGAAUCAAUCACUGUGUCCAGGGACAUUUGAUGCUCC
rnacentral:lncRNA from 1 species